GCUCCUGGCACCACCAGUGCUGCUGACUCCCUACGUACAGCUGCCUGCAUAUCCUCCGCAGCUUCACGCAGCACCAGGUGCUGCCGGUUCCCUCUACUUGCGCUGUAUGCUGGAUACAAACUAAACUGCGGGCAGGAGGAGCCUAGGAAAUCAUCCUUGAAGCAGGGACUGCUGGUGCAGACUGCUGGAGAACAGUCUAAAGUAAAUUGAAUUGGCUACUGGGAAUUUUCAGAAACUCUUAGAAAAACUUUUACUUCUGCUGUUUUAUGAAAAAUAUUACUCAACAGCCUGCAUGCGUUAAAAAGGAGGCAAGAAGAUGCAGAAAAGCCUGAACAAGUGUGCCAAAACAUGAAAGAAGAGUUGGACAUUUCAUGUGACUGCAGGAACCUGUGCAGGGUGCCAAGAAAUACAGCACUAUGUAAAGUUAUCACAGGACUACCAGAAUGAAGGACAUCAUUGCCAUCAUUGAAGGACAUCAUAUUGUCUUUAUUCCAAUAUGGUCAUUUCUGAACUGUCAUUUUCAAGUACAUUUAGUAGCAUAUCAGUGCUGAUAUCUGACAUAUGUAUUCCAGUUUAAAGAAGCAUCUGUUGAGUCCUCAGAUCAAAACAGCUAAUUACACUUCGGGGACAUUUUCAGAGAUUAAAAAUUCCCUUAUUUCAGGCAAAUUUUAAACAUCCCCACAGAUUAAACUCCUUUUUCAUAUAUAAAACUCACACCCAAUCUCCAGUGAAAUUAAUGUAUGAAAUGUGAAGAAUAACUUCCCUAAAGGAUUAUCUGUAUUUUUCUGCCUCAACUGCGCUCAGUAAAGUGGAACUGAAAGCAAAGACAUAACCUGAAUCACAUGUAAUGCUGAAAUAUGAACUAAGACACGGCCUCCACUGGCUGGACAAAGAAAGUAGAACCUUCAAUCAAGAGCUUAGAAAAAAAAA